CUCUCACUUGUGUCAGCACUCCCAACGAAGAAUUGGGGAGCCCAAGCCUAACAACCUUUCUGGAGCCCAUGAGACCAACACCGAAGGCUCUCUUUGGCUCUCUCCGGCUCCCUCUUCUGUAGUAAGCGAAGCUCUGUCAUUCUCCAUGCCUUGCCUUAACCCCUGUAGAUGCUGGGCUACAUCCCAUCUGCUGACGUGAGGCCAAGGCCUCAUAUGGAAGAUGUGAACCCCCGAGUCUCCUGGUAUGAAGUGCACAUACGUCUCUUCCCACCAUUUCUACCCGAGGCUUCCUGGAAAUGGCUGCUACAGAAUCCCGGACUUUCCUCUACUGAACAGAACCAGGGUCCAGCAACCCGGCACCCAGAUCUACCACCUGUGGACCCAGGUUAUGUCCUGAGAUCCCAUGUGCGUAACCGAUGGACAUUGGACCUAAGAGCCAGUAAACCAAGCAGGAAGAAUUUGGGAGCCCGAGCCUGA
rnacentral:lncRNA from 1 species